AUCACAUGUGAGACUCAUUUUGGAUGAUGGAUCAUGAAAUCUUAGUGAUAUAUCAUUCAGUUUUGGUGCUAUCCAAACAAGCUCUAGUUCCCAGUGUAGAACGCCUUGAGAUGCGUCCCAUAUCUGCCCUCACCCACAGCUGUCCCCAAUGUAGUGAAACUGAAAGCCCUCAACCAUUUUCCACGAGCCGGUUCUCACUGAAAACACAGCCACGAGAGGUUCGUGCUUGAUCAAGACCACCAACCUGUAAUCGUUGAUGGAUGAGGCAUAACCGAAUCCAUAAGCUAGAAUAGGAUUACUGGGGCUGGAUUUAGAAGGAAGAAGUUGUCGGGUCGACACAAAAGGCAGAUCAGGUCGUCGCAAGAACCAAUCAGUUUAACCGACUCAGAUCUAGGGUUUUGGGUAAGGGUUUGCUUGAGAGUGGAACAUUCGAGGUCGACCGUUAGUAACUUGUUUUUGGAACCGAAAGGAUUUUCGUCGUUGCUCGGGUAGAGAGAAGAAUUGAAGGAGACAAAGAUACUACUCCGGCACACUUCCGGUGGCAUUUCGAGAUGAGCGUCAUGACUUGGAGACUCAUUGGAACCGGGUAGAGAGUGCGACAUCGUCAUUGGUUCUGAGUCGGUUAAACUGAUUGGUUCUUGCGACGGCCUGAUUUGCCUUUUGUGUCGACCCGACAACUUCUUUCUUCUAAAUCCAGCUUCCACUAAUCCUAUUCUAGCUUAUGGAUUCAAUUAUGCCUCAUCUAUCGAAGAUUACAAGUUGGUGCUCUUGACCAAGCACGAACCUCUCGUGUGGUUGUGUUUUCAGGGAGAACCGGUUUGUGGAAAAUGGUUGAGUGCUUUCAGUUUCUCUACCUUGUAUCAUUCCACUAUCUAACCUUUAUUUGGGUGGUUGCACUCAACUUCAAAUGUUGUCCAAGUUUCCAUUCCAUUAAAUAUGUAUCAUACCAGGGUGUACCUCACUGGAAACAUUAUCAUUAAGUCCGGAAUAUGAUUUUCAGCCGAAUAUGUUUCUUCUCAAUUGCGUCAAAUUGAUUUAUAAUCAAGGCAAAGAGAUGCUAUAACCCGAAUGGGUUCACAUUUCUCACAAUUCCUGGAAGUGAAAUUUCGAAUUGGUUUAGGCACCAAAAUGUGGGGGCUUCAGUGAAUCUGCAACUGCCUUCACAUUUAUUAUUAAGUAGCAAAGUGGACAGAGCACCCUAAUCUAAUUGAAAACUGGAUUGGGAAUUUAUGCAUAAAAGGACAAGGUGACUUUGCUUGUGAGUGAGGAAAGAGGAAUCCCAGUGAAAGUGGCAACUUUGAUGAAUCUUCACAGUUGAGCAACUUUUUUUUCUCUUCGAUUUUUUUAAACCAAUAGCAGAUAAAGAGGCUAUGCAAUGUCGGAUGGCAGAGACGAUCAGGCUACUGCCAGAGCACAGGGUUUGGUGCUUACUACAACGACCACUACACUGUCUUUAAGUGUCUGUGGGGUUGAUGCUAAUGAUGAUGGAGUGGAACUGGGUUUGGGGCUAUUUCUGUUUGGCUACAAGGAAACUUGAGGUUAAUUAGUGUGAAAAGGGCAAAAAGCUUUUGAAUCAUAUGGGCUGAAAUAGCGGUUCCUGACUUAUUUCUUGAGUUCUCAAUUUUUGGGUUUCCCCUCAAAACACACACACACACACACACACACACACACACACACACACACACACACACAUAUAUAUAUAUAUAUAUAUAUGUAUUUAUAUAUUCUAAUCCUAUGAUUUUCUUAGAAAAUUUUUAGAACAUAAGCACAGCUCUAGCAUGCUCGUUGUGCUUGGCUUUGCUGGCAAUUUCUUUCCUUUAAAUAAAAUGUAUUUUUCCAAGGAAAUAGGACCUUAGUGUGGCUUCUGUUGUUUUUUAUAUAUGUUUUCUGAAGGUACCUGUUGGAGCUCUGCCAGAAAGCGUUGGAGGAGAAUAUUGUUUAUUUGGGGACAGGUUGUGGGAUGACCACAAUGCUGUACUGCUUAUACAUGAGCUGGGUCACUUGAUACGGAAGCCCUAAAAGGGCAUAUGCGUCAUCCUUACCCCUACGGUGGCUCUGGUUCAGCAAGUUAUAUGGCUGGUACAUUGUACAAUAAUGAAGUGAUGUGCUCUUUGGCUUGGCUGAGGUUGUAGGUAGAAGUGGGUAGAGUUGUUGUUUUUUAGUGCUUAUCUAUGCAAUUUCUCAUUGUGAUUCUAGAUUUUAAAAGGGGCUUUCUAAAUCUAGGUGCUUCAAGUUCACCUUGGAAGGGAGUUUGGCAUUUUAUCAACAGAACCAUGAUUAUACUAUGAAGUAUGAACUCAGGACACCUUGAAAUAUAUAAACAAAAUCAAAAUAGGGCUAGACUACCAGAUAAUACAAAAGCAUCAAUUCCUAGAACCAAGGAUUCAAUUCCUAGAAAUUGACCAACCUUGAUAGUGUAGAAAUUUGGGCUUAUUCUUUUAACGGCAAGGUGAUAUGUAGUGUUUUAGCAAGCAAUAAAGGAUUGUGUAGCCUCUUUAUCUGUUAAUUGUGGUCUCAUUCAUCAAUUGAUGAUUGAUAAUUGUGAAAGAAAAAUGCAAAACUAUAAUUAUGAUUUGCGACAUGACCCAGUAGAACAAGAACCUCUAAUGAGAAAUUUUACUUUUGAGAUAUUGAGACAACCCCACUGAUACCAUUCUUAAAGAUAUGGGAAAACAACCUCUCCACUACUUGCACAGUUGCCUUCGGUAUUGCUGUGCUCUUCCUUCUUUCUUAAAUUUAAAUAAAGUAUCUCAUUUGUUUCUUAUUCUCUUUGUGAUUUGGUGAGUAAUGACUUUUCCAUCCUUUCACUCAUAUUAGCACUUCCUCAUUAAAAAAAAAAAAAAAAAACAUUUCUUCUUUUUUAAUUUUCCUGUCAAUCAAAUUUUCUAUAGUUGAAUACUUUCCUACAUGAUCUGUUAUUUAUUGUUUGAUUUGAUUUUAGAUCUUUGCACUUUUGUUAAGGACAACAAAAGUUAAAUUUAGAUCAUAUGUGGUCUUUUGCAAGUCAAAUUGACUCAGGCACUCUACCCUACCAAUUAAUUAUUUGUAGGAUGCGGAUGUUGUGUUGAAAAUUUAACCUAAUUCUCAUAACUUGUGAGAUGCGAAAAUAGAGAAAAAAAGAACAACCACACUACAAAAAAAUUUAUAUGGUUCGGCAAUAUGUCUACAUUCACAAAGUUACUGUGAUUUCAUUAACUUGUUGGCUUUUUUUUUUUUUUUUUUGAUCGGUAAAUAAAAACUUCAUUGAAAAUAAAAAAGAGGUACAACAAAGAAAGCAGUUCCUCAGGUACACAGGUAGUGUACAAUGGGAAACAAAGCGUUAAGCAAAACUACAUAUGUCUAAAAAAUUCCAACAAAGAAGAUAAGAUUAUAUAGCAGGAAUCUGAUUAAGCAACUUAAUAGUUACUUACAGAGUGUUGGUAUCAUGGUACAAUGGGGUCACUGAUAUUCUGCUAAACAGCAAGUAGACUGCCCAAGAGGCAAGAUCAUUUAGUAGUCAUUGGAUACCCGAUUUUAAAAUUUCAUAGAAAAUUAGGUAUUAGAGAUACAAUUUUAGAUUUUCUUAACUAUAAAAAUCGAAAGAAUACAAAAUACAAGAAAAAAUGUCUACCAUAUUUGUGUUGAAAGGAAUGCUAGAUUACAUGGGGGAAGUGUUAGUACAGAAAGGCAACUGGUUCAGAAAGUAUGUCAGGACGUUAGGGGAUGAGUUACUUGGUGUAAAAAUAUUAAAAACAAAAUCCGAAACAGGAUUCUGUGCAGCAUGUGUAAGACUCCUAACUUUGUGUUGGCUUCAUGAGUUGUUUUGGUGUUCAAAAUUUCUGGUUGCUGGUUGUCCAGCACAUGGGGCUUGGCAACAGUCUUGCUACAGAUAUUCUGUUGUGUUUCUAUCUGAGAGUUUUAUGUUUCUCUGCUUUGCAGGUGUUGUUACUUUGUUUUGACUAAUGAAAUCUUAUCAUUCUUCUCUUCCCCCCCCCCCCC